UUCUGAUAGCAUAAAAAGUUAAUAGCACGAUAUCUCAAGUAAAAAUACAAAUUCAUACGUUUUCGCUUCAGAACUAACUCAUGCACAUAGAUGAUUUGAAUAUAUCUCUAUGACUAUAUAUUGUACUAUAAUAUUAUAAUUUUACAUCCCAAUCAUAAACUAUAAAAUAUUGAAUUAAUAUAUUGCAAAUACAUUAUUAGAAUUCAACAUCCUAAUCCUAAACUAUUUUGCACUCUAUCAUUAAGCCACAAUCAUUAAUAUUAAUCAAACUGUGCUCCAUUAUAUUGCAACUCAGAUGACAUAUAUCCGUCUCUUUUUAUUCAUUGACUAAUAUUAUGUCAUCUUCAAGCUUUUUAAUGGACUAGAAACACUUGAGAAAGUUAUGCAAAAGGAUGGUGGUGGGAGAGGGGAAAAAAGAUUAUAGUUUAUUGAACAAAACGUCUCUCUGUAAUUGGCUUUUGAGACUUCUUCUUUUAGGUAAAGAAGAAAAGAAGAUUGAUUAUGA
rnacentral:lncRNA from 1 species